rnacentral:lncRNA from 1 species
AUUUAGGUAAAUUAAUAAUGUUAAGGGUUUCUAAAAUGAGAAAUGGGUUACAAGGUAUGUCAAAGCACCUCGAGAAUAAUUGGCUUGGUUACCUUUCUUCCAAAGGGACUUCCUCCAGGCACAAGCCUCCAGCAUCUACACUGGCAUGCUCAGAACCUAAGAAUUCAUCUAAUUCAGGCAGAGAGAUAUUUGCCAUGGACUGCUGACUGAUGGGAAAAAGAAAUUCAAGGGAGGGAAACUAAAGACUAUCUCAUGUAAGUACCAGCAGAGAGAUAUGUGGGCUUUUGGAUGGCUCCUCUCUCCUUGCCUCCAUUUUCUAUGCAUCUGCAUUGAGGACUCCAUGGCAGAUCACACAAAGGAUUUCUCUGUAGGAGAAGGAAAGAAUCCUUUGGCUCAAGUAACAUUGAGCAGCAGACGUGGCCAGUGGACCUUCAGCAGUCUUUCCUCCUGUUGCCAAGAACAUCUAGCAAAAAACCAUCACUAA